UACGUAGGUGGCAAGCGUUGUUCGGAUUUACUGGGCGUAAAGGGCGCGUAGGCGGCCAGCACAAGUCAGUUGUGAAAUCUCCGAGCUUAACUCGGAAAGGUCAACUGAUACUGUGCGGCUAGAGUGCAGAAGGGGCAACUGGAAUUCUCGGUGUAGCGGUGAAAUGCGUAGAUAUCGAGAGGAACACCUGCGGCGAAGGCGGGUUGCUGGGCUGACACUGACGCUGAUGCGCGAAAGCCAGGGGAGCGAACGGG
rnacentral:rRNA from 1 species